UACGAAGGGGGCUAGCGUUGUUCGGAAUUAGACUGGGCGUAAAGCGCGCGCAGGCGGUCUUCCAAGAUCAGUGGGUGAAAAGCCUGGAAGCUCAACUCCAGAACUGCCAUUGAAACUGUUAGACUUGAGUACGAGAGAGGUGGAAGUGGAAUUCCCAGUGUAGAGGUGAAAUUCGUAGAUAUUGGGAAGAACACCGGUGGCGAAGGCGGCUCACUGGCUCGUAACUGACGCUCAGGCGCGACAGCGUGGGGAUCAAACAGG
rnacentral:rRNA from 1 species